GAGAGGAAACCAUGACAACACCCUUUCGGAUACCUGUGAUGGGCCACCAUCUCUGAUCCAAAUGAUACUUGGAGGAUAGCAGCUGUUUGUGGCUCUCUUUCCAGCUGGAGUCAUUGACCCCUGGUGUUCGGUGGGCAGAUGCUAAAGGAGCUUUCAGAUUAGGGGAGACACCUCUCUGAGGAGCACUGAAAUUUGGAGGAGACACUUUACAGAAAAAGACUUGUGUGUGUGUGAGAGGCAUUUCCUGAGGAGACUUGGGCUUUAGAGGAAUUGCACUCACUUGAAGGGCUACCACACAGCAAUAAUGUGCUUCCGAGCUGCAGAACCCCAGCAGGACUACCUCCACUAACAUCUCACCCUGGAAACUGGAACUUCUUUCUGCCCAGGUUGUGCUGAGCAUUUCUCUUGGUUUUUGCUCCAUUUGCCUCCCCUACCCAUGUUUCCCUUGACGAGAUUCUAAGUGCUCAUGCUAACCCGCUGAGAUACCUCCUGAUGCUUCUUGUUUCACUUAAAAUAAUGAAGAACUUGUCAAUAUCACUUUUAACCAAAAGCAGGUCUGGGUGAAUGCCGAGGAGCCCUAGGAAGAUCAGCGUUCCUAAAAACCAGAAGGCGUGGAGGUAGCGGAAUGCUCCUGUGUAAGGAAACCACGCAGAUGGGUACACUUUGGAGAAUGGACAUAAUUCAGGAUGAACGUUGUCCUGGGUGAAAGGUGUUUUUACACAGAACAAAGAUGGAAGGUUUCAUCAGAGGGACAACUUGAUAAUUGUACUGCCACAGUGCUCUUCAUCACCUCAUUUCCCCCUUAUUUUCACAAGCAGAAGAUUAUUCUUCUAGUAGGUUUGCCAAACUGACCUGGAUGUCAGAGCUAAUCCCAUAGCUAGGCAGCCACUUGGAAUAAGACUGAUUAAAAAACAACCUUUCUCUGAGCAAACAGUGGGUUUAAAUUCAAUAGGGAGAUUAACAUGGCUAAGAGCAUCAUGUCUUUACCAGCACAGUCUAUGCUGCUGAGAUUCAGCCAGAUAUAGUUCUAAAGAGCCCUUGUCCCUGGAAAGGGCUGAGUAUACCCCAUAUGGAUGACAAUCGCUGCCAAUGUUCCUUGUUUGUGAAGGGCUCAAGACAAAACACAAGUUUUCUAGUCUCUCUCCCUCUCAUUUGACUAGGUUUUUUAGGCUGUGAUUUUUGAAGGAGCCAAUGGGAUUUAGGUGCCUGACUCCCUUAGGCUCCUUUGAAAUCCUGGCCUAAAUCAGUUAUAAAGGUAUGGACUAGGUUUAAGUAGGGUAUGUUUUAAUAUGGGAAGACUUGGGUUUGAUUCCCUGCUGUGCCACUGACCAGCAAUGAGGUAAUUUGGCAUCUCUGUUUCUUAGUUUCCUCAUCUGUAUGAUGGAGCUAAUGACACCCUCCUUCAUAAAGCUCUUUGAGAUCUCUGGAUGAAAGGUGCUGUACCAGACUACAUAUUAAUGUUAUGGUUUGCCUAGACAUGUGAGUGAUCCCUGCACAUGCAAAGCCAAUUUUUUCCUCAUUUGCACUCAUGCAACUUCAAUGAGGUUGCAUGGCUGUGUAGGUGAGGACAGCAUUUGGCUCAUUAUCUAAAAGAGACUAUCCCUUAUUAAUAAGGAAUGGAUGCUUCCAUCUUUGUAAAAAUUAGAGAUGCAGUUUUAGUAUGAUUGGAUACAAAUUUGGUAAAUCAUUUGUAGUUCAAACAGGAAUUACUUUGGGGAAAUUCUAUGGCCUGUGUUAUACUAAAUCAUCACAGUGGUCCUUUCUGGCCUUGGAAUCUAUAGACAGAGAAGGAGGUCUGGCAUGGACUCUUUACAGUUAUCUGUAGGAAGGUAAAGGAUGAGGAUUAAAGCCAGUGACCAGUAGAGGUCAGAGUUGCACCAUGUAAAUGAAGUUGGAAAGGAAGUUAGUUGACACUUAGGAAUGAGUGUUUCAAUAUUGUUGUAGCAGGAUCUGAGCUAUCCUCCUAAAAUGUGUAUUACUAGUCAAAGUUACAAUAAUUUGCUCCUGGCCUGAGAAAAAAAUAUACCACUCUUAAUAGACUGCAAUUGUAAUAUCUACCAUCAAAUUUGAGCUAGUGCUUUUAAAUUGCAUUCAGAAUAUGAGGUUUCAGAAUGUAUUGCAUAAAUUUAAACUUUUCCAUUAUUGAAGCUCUCAAGUACUCGAUCUGAGAAAGGUUACCAAAUGUGUUUACUUACAAAUUUGGGAGUAUCGACAAAGUCGCAAUGCAGUGAAUUCGUCAUCUGCUCAUGACUAGCAGAUGGUCCUCCUCCUUUGCAAGCAAAUUGCAUGACUCACGUCUUGCAUGGUUUGCAAAUUGAAACUUAGAAACUCUGGUGUCGAGGUGGACAGUUCCAUCCAUUUCUAAUCAUGCUGCCUGCCCGUGUGAUGAAUUUAUUCGUCUUCACAGUGAGGAUUUUACUAUGGAUUUUCCAUAGUGCUUUUAUUUUUCUUAUAUAAAAAUAUUUUGGAUUGGAUUUUCAUUUACAAGAAGACCACUUUACAUGGCAAUUUAAAAGGAGUUUUAAGUACAUAAAUUACAUGUACAUUUUACAGAGGGUGUGAAAGAGGUGACUGUGAAAUACAUUUACACAGGCUGGGUUUUCAGCAUGAGAUGUAGCUAAGGCAGAUCACUGCAAAGGAGCCUUUUGUGAUCACUUAAUCCUGGGGCAGUUCCGCACCAGCCCAGACCUUUGCAUAAAUCAAAGCAAACUGAAGGUUGCUCUAAACCAUGCCAGCUGCCGGUGGUCAGAAGGCACUUUAAUUGGGCUUCUCACAGGGGUAGGGGCCUGUGCACAAGAAGUUGCAGGAUCAGCACCUUUAUAGGUAAACAUCUAUGAGGGCUGGUAUGUUGCAGAUUUGUUACAAUGUUACUAAUUUAUAAGGAUAAAGUCAGCCAUCACCAUAAACCCCUACACUUUUGUGAAAUGUUUGUUACCAACUAUUCUUACAGUUUUCUCCAUUUUUAUCAGUUUGUUCACUUUGGGCAUUUGAGUUGUGUAGUCAACUUCACUGCUUCCCCUGUCUAGUCAGGCAGCCAGUUUCCUCUGUUGUUUGUGUGGGUCUGCAACAAAGCAAUGAGAGAGCUGCAUGUUUCUUUUAAAGAAUAAGAAAGUGUGAUUUUUAAAACUACAAAAAAUGGCAGGGGAAACCAAGGACAGGUGUGAACCUAAAAAUGCCUUUAACUCCUUUUUUGGCAACUGAUUAGAUUUCAAGUUGACAAGCAACAAAUUUGAUUCUUAAGCUGUAACUUGUUUACAUUAAAUAUAUCUGUUCAUCUAUUGGGUACAGGAGCGCCAGUCAUAUAAGAGAAAUAAGCUUUGCGGUUCUGUCAGACAUUCACACACCUUGUGCAAUGUGAGGCACUUGAAUUAAAGCUGAGUGUCUUCAAGUACUAGAGAAAUGCAAGUGACUGGUAUAACUGCACUAUGAUUUUUUCAAAGGCUUUUCUAUUUUGAAGUGUGUUCUUUUCUUGCUUUUAUAAAGUGGGAUUUAAAAAACAGUAAAAUGGUAAUUGGGGUUGUUUUUUACCAUUUUCUCUAUCUUUAUAUUCAAAAUCUUUUAUUUACAAAAGAAAUUAUAUAAUUUACAAAUUGAAUUUAUUAAUACAAUAUUUUCCAGGUAAGGGGCCUUAUCCUAAAGCCCAUUGGAGUCAAUGGAAAAACUCCCAUUGAUUUAAAUGGGUGGAUCAUGCUUUGAUUUCUGGCAUGGACAGCCGUGAGCUUGGCAGCCAGGAACAGAAACUGACCUGUGAGUGCCUUCUUUUUCAUCUGCCCCUUUAUACUCAUGUUACAACAGAUGGGAGAUCAGCUGGAUGAACUCUAAGGCCCAAUUCUGCAGCCAAUGGGGAAUCUUGGUGUGAAAUCCUGGCCAUGUUAAAGUCAAUGAAAGUUUUGCCAUUUACUUCAAUAGGGCCAGAACGUCAUCCUCGGGGUCUAAUCCAACUUUUAUUGAAGUCAAUGGGUGUCUUUCUAUUAACCUCAGUGGGAGAUGGAACAGGAUCUGGAUGAGGAUCAGGUUCUUUGUAAAUAUACCUCCUUUGAAAAAAAAUUAAAAGUCAAUAUUUUAAAACUUACCUCAUUUUCAAACAUCAACAGCCAUGAAAAGAGAAGCUGGCAGCCAGUAGAAAAAAUUGACAGGAGCUCUGACCCAGUCUUAUGUUGCUGUUUCCCAAAGACACUCCUGCAGUCUGUAGUACCUUAUAUCUGAAAAUCAAAUUAAAGCGAAUGCUAGGACUGUUUUUUGUCUGGCUCCUCCUUAGAGGUUAGCAGGGCUCCUAGUGUCCCCACCUCUCCC